rnacentral:ncRNA from 1 species
GUGUAAGACAAAUUGAUAGUCCCUGGAGUGAUUUGUCCAAUUAAUUCCGAUAACGAACCGGGCUCAAAUAUAUUAAAUCGAUGCUUUUAGGAUUAUGGUGUUGAAGCUUUUAUGGCCUUCAUUUAUGAGCACAGUAAAAUGUGGAUGUUUGAAUGUGUUUAUAAAAAUGGAGUGGUACCUGUUGGUUAGUCCUUUUAUAAGAUAACAGCGUCUUAAAUAGACAAAUUGCGUCCAGCAAUAAUGGGAUUGACCAAUACCAGGUCUGCGAUGC